rnacentral:rRNA from 1 species
GACGAACCGUCCAAACGUUGUUCGGAAUCACUGGGCUUAAAGGGUGUGUAGGCGGGCUUUUAAGUCUGGGGUGAAAUCCCGAAGCUCAACUUCGGAACUGCCUUGGAUACUAUUAGUCUUGAAUUAUGUUGAGGUUGGCGGAAUAUAACAUGUAGCGGUGAAAUGCAUAGAUAUGUUAUAGAACACCGAUUGCGAAGGCAGCUAACUAAACAUAUAUUGACGCUGAGGCACGAAAGCGUGGGGAUCAAACAGGAUUAGAAACCCCCAGUGA